UGGUGGAGCAGUGCUCUCGACGCCUUUGGCCCCACUGGGUUUUGUACUGUGUCCACUGCCUCUUCAAAGCCCCUUGUACCUGUUAAGUGCUCCAGAUGAAUGCUGUAGUCUGGUUACCCUAGAAGCUACAUGAAGCACAACAGUUAACCAUGGUUACAUGAAGCAGGAAGAACAAAGACAUUCAAUCUUGCAAAGUCUGCCAGGAGACAUAGUUUUGUUCUCAGAAGGCAAUGGUGCUGAGAUACGUACCUCACCAUUGAAGAAGCAGAAUAUAGUUGCCACAAGCAAGCCCUAAGAGGAAGAAAAUGAAAAGCACUUAAGG